rnacentral:misc_RNA from 1 species
GCAGAAGGAUCAUUAGUGAAGAUUUGGGCAGGCCAUACGGACGCCACAAAGUGUCCCUGGCCGCCUACACCCACUAUACAUCCACAAACCCGUGUGCACUGUCCUUGGAAAGGGCAUUUGGAGAGAAAAAGAAAGAGAAGCGAGAGCAGUGCGAUCCGUCGCGUUGGGCGUUUUCUCUGACUUGGUCUCUCUGAGGCCCCCUUUCCUUGCUACAAACUCGAAUGGUUAGUAUGAACGUGGAACUUGGUUGGACCGUCACUGGCCAACAAACUAUACACAACUUUCGACAACGGAUCUCUUGGUUCUCCCA